AAGAUGUAGUCGGGCCUUGGGGGAAACCUCAAGGGCGGUGAUCACAGAUUGCAAAUGAAGAAAGAUAGAAGAGGGGGGGAAAGAUGUGCUGGUAUUCUGCUAUGCUAUGUCUCUCUUCGGCUCCUGCCAGUUCAAAAUGGGCGGUGUGGGAAGUAGCCUCGGCUACGUGCCUUGCACUCUUGUUGGGUCGAGGCUUCUUCUUUUGCUCUCUGUGGUCGCGAAGCAAGACCGUUCCGUAGGUGAACCAGCGGAAGGAUCAUUA
rnacentral:rRNA from 1 species